rnacentral:rRNA from 1 species
AUACGUAGGGUGCAAGCGUUAAUCGGAAUUACUGGGCGUAAAGCGUGCGUAGGCGGUUUUGUAAGACAGAGGUGAAAUUCCUGGGCUCAACCUGGGAACUGCCUUUGUGACUGCAAGGCUAGAGUACGGACGCAGGGGGUGGUAUUCCGCGUGUAGCAGUGAAAGGCGUAGAUAUGAGGAGGACCACCGAUGGCGUAGGCAAUCCCCUGGGCCGGAUGUGACGCUCAUGCACGAAAUCGUGGGGAGCAAACAGGAUUUGAUACCCUGUUAGUCCACGCCGUAAACGAUUUCAACUGGUUGUUGGCUCGUCAUUGGCUCAGUAACGUAGCUCACGAGUGAAGGAGACCGCCUGGGGAGUACGGCCGCAAGGUUGAAACUCAAAUGAAUUGGCGGGU